UACGUAGGUGGCGAGCGUUGUCCGGAUUUACUGGGCGUAAAGGGAGCGUAGGCGGACUUUUAAGUGAGAUGUGAAAUACUCGGGCUCAACUUGAGUGCUGCAUUUCAAACUGGAAGUCUAGAGUGCAGGAGAGGAGAAUGGAAUUCCUAGUGUAGCGGUGAAAUGCGUAGAGAUUAGGAAGCACACCAGUGGCGAAGGCGAUUCUCUGGACUGUAACUGACGCUGAGACUCGAAAGCGUGGGGAGCAAACAGG
rnacentral:rRNA from 1 species